rnacentral:lncRNA from 1 species
CUUGGGAUGUAUAAUACAACACAAAGAUAGCCGGUCUCUGUUCGCGGAAUCGUGCGGUCACUGCUGGAACGUGUCCAAGAAGCUUUCAGUGUACAUUAGCAGACUAGAAUUCGGGAGUUGGGCAGACAGCGAAUUCCAAAUGAAUACGGCCACGUUCUCAGUUGUGCUGACCAAAUUGUGGAAGUGAGGGACAUCUUUGUCCAGAUUCUUGUGAUCCAUCACCUUCAUGAUACUCUCUUCCAUGUAAAUCUUCAAGUCAGACAGAUUCAUCACCAUUCCAGUUUUCUGAUCGAUGGGGCCCCUGAUGGUGACUUCAACUAUCGAAAAAAAAAGACAGAUACUCUAAAUAAAAUGAGAUAAACGCCUUCUCCUUUUGUUGAAUUAUGGAUUGAGCACUCUCGUUUAAAGCUGUAAACGUUAAAUAAUAGCAGACGCUUUUCAAAAUGGCUGUCAUCUAUUUUCCCGUUGGUAACUUGGCAAGUUAAGUUUCUUUGUUUCAUUUUCUUUAAUGUGCCAAAGCCAAACUGCUCGUUAACGUUAUAAAAGUAAAGUAUCGUGUGAUUAAUGCAAUCUAAAACUUAUUUCAGGAUGAACAAGAUGGUUAUUGAUUUUUGUCUGCGUAAUGAAGACAUCAAAGACAUCACGGCGAAGUGCACGUGCCCAACAUGUGGAUAUAGACAUCAUGAAAUUCCUCGUCUCCACCGUGGCAUGCACAACUGUUUAGUAGGAGCUGCGAAUGCUGUGGCUGCACACAUGCUGUUGUUGUAGUCCUACCAGGGAGUGUGGAAACCACUCCCUUUGAUGAUGCCGUCGCGCACUCAAUCAAUCAAUCAGGGGCUCCCUCGUCCGCAUCCGCGUCUUCGGUAAUGCAUCCCCCCCCCCCCCCCCCCGCAACUUCUGGAGCGUCGACUCGAAUCCGGUGAUACCGCAGACUCCCGCCGCCCGUCUGUGUGCGCGAGGAAAGAUGUUGAAUGGCCCCCCCCCCCCUCACAUCACCAAAUCGAGCAGCAGACACACUCAAGAAUAGAAGCCGAUUUUUCUUAUACGAACGACGACGACGCCGGCCCUUUUGUGUCUUGCCACUGUGAUUGGCUCCUUCGGGAUUGUCUAUGCUGCUGCGGACGAAAAGGAAAGAAGGCAGCAACCGUUCAGCUUUGGCGCGUCCUAUAGGCUCGAUACAAUUGCCUCUUUUUGUUCACGAUCCGGCGGGAGCCAACAGAUCCGCUAAAGCUGUUAAUCGAUAAACCCAGGCUCCUUUUGAUUCCAUUUCUUCUAUUUUCUCUCACUCUACGUGAGUCAGCCGAGUGACGACAAAAAAGAAGAAACACAAAUUCUUCUUCUUCUUCUUCACGAACGUUUUUGGAAUAUCUUUUCCGUUAUCAGCCGAGAGAGGGUGGGCUUUCUAGGAGGACGCGCAAUGGAUGGAUGAAUGAAUGACAGACGGUCGAGCGGACUCUCUGCUGCUGCGGAUGUCUAUAAGGGAACUGAGGUUUUUACAACGCCGGGACCCGGGAUGAUUGGAUAGACUUUGAAGCGUUUUCUUUUUAAAGAAGAAGAAAAUAAAGAAACAUCCGAGAAUGAAAGCCACAGUUUCUGGUUCGAGUCAUUCAAGUGUGUAACAAUACGGUUUUUUUACCGGGGAAACUCGGUCGAGAGAUGAUUACACCCCCCCCCCCCCUGUCGUCAAAACACGUUACGGUGAAGAAAAAAAGGACGUUGAAGAAGGACCGAAAAGGAGCUGUCAACUAACGGACACAUUCACCCGCCUUCAGAGCCGAAUGUGAAAGAAAAGGGGGCCCGUAUAUAUGAUCAAGUGUUUGGAUGUGCAUGGUCCAAGCGGAUAAAAGGUUUGCACAAUCACGAUUCAAUGGAGGGGAGCCUCUUGAUCCAAACGAAAUACUCAGUCAGCCAAGAGUUAUGUCGUGCACAAGUGACGUCUUUCUUGUUGUUUUUUUUUUUAUUUUCUUUCU